GCUGCCCUGUAAAGGGCGGAUAGUUUAUCAACAUUUUUGCUCUUCUGAGUUGUCUUAGGAAUAAUCGAGCAACCGUUGCGCAUUUGCAAACAGCACUGGGGAAGCCGGACCCCUGUCGUUCCUCGGACAGAGACUUUAGUUCUUUUGUCUCAAGGAAAUUACAACUGCGAAAGGCUCAUCCAAGCGGCAGCUGCACGGAAGUCCAAGGUCAAGUAAAACCAGGUGAAAACACCUCACUGAAUCACCUCCCUUGCACAUUCCCGUGUGUAAAUGGUUCUCCCAAGCCUGCGUUGACUGUUGUGGAAUCCUGGAAAUGACCCAAGUAAUUUCUGAGACCACAAUGGAGAUCCACACAGAUUCUUACAGCCACGGUAUUGCUGCGUGUGAACGCCCUGAGAUGACAGAGUCGUCUAAAGGACCAUGAUGGAUACUAUGCUUGUGCGUUUCUGAACAUCAGCUCAGAAAAGGAAAAUGCCUUGCUCUCGUUCUACGUGAGGGUGCAUGUUUAAUAUUCAGGAGAAAAAUAAGUCUCACAGUUUUUCAACAUGUGGCAAGAAAAAGAAACAGCUGAUGUACACUUUUAAUAAAAAGUUCAAAAGUCAGUUUUGUUUCGUGUAGCACAAUUUUGCCAUUGUCUGCAUCUAUCCCCAUCAAGCAUUCUGUAUAGGAAGUUCUUCCAGCUUAAUACCGAAACACAAGUAGUUAAAACAAUAAACAUAAGUCUUUGCCAACUAUUACUUUUCCUUGUACUUCUGUUUUCUUUUUGUGUGUGUUAAGAUUAAAACAAAGAACUGUAUUUCACAUCUUUUAACAUCCUGUAUUUCACUUCUCAAAAUAUUUAAUAUAGUGAUACAGUUUUUAUGUGUACAAUUUUGUUAUGCAAACCUAUACAAGUAUUUAAUGCAAGUACAGGAACCCUGCAAACCCAAAUAAAAUCCCUUCAUAUUAGCCAAUUCACUGCACUCUACAUUAAGUGCCAUAACAAAAGAAAAAAAAUUAAACUUUAAAAAAAAUCUGCACA